rnacentral:rRNA from 1 species
UACGGAGGGUGCAAGCGUUAUCCGGAUUCACUGGGUUUAAAGGGUGCGUAGGCGGCUAUUUAAGUCAGUGGUGAAAGCUUCCCGCUUAACGGGAAAACUGCCAUUGAAACUGGGUAGCUUGAGUACGAUUGAUGUGGGCGGAAUACAUCAUGUAGCGGUGAAAUGCUUAGAUAUGAUGUAGAACACCGAUUGCGAAGGCAGCUCACAAAAUCGCAACUGACGCUGAGGCACGAAAGCGUGGGGAGCAAACAGGAUUAGAUACCCUGGUAGUCCACGCCCUAAACGAUGAAUACUCGAUGUAUGCCCUAAUUGAGGGGUAUGCGUCCAAGCAAAAGCGUUAAGUAUUCCACCUGGGGAGUACGGCCGCAAGGUUAAA